CCUACGGGAUGCAGCAGUGAGGAAUAGUGGUCAAUGGGCUUACGCCUGAACCAGCCAAGUCGCGUGAGGGAAGACUGCCCUAUGGGUUGUAAACCUCUUUUGUCAGGGAGCAACGCAGGCUACGUGUAGCCGGACUGAGAGUACCUGAAGAAAAAGAAUCGGCGAACUCCGUGCCAGCAGCCGAGGUAAUCCGGAGGAUGCGAGAGUUAGCAGGAUUUAUUGGGUUUAAAGGGUGCGUAGGCGGAAUGCCGAGUCAGCGGUAACAUCGCGGGGCUCAACCUCGCUCCGCCGUUGAAACUGGCGUUCUUUAUUGGGCGAGCAGUAUGCGGACUGCGUGGUGUAGCGGU
rnacentral:rRNA from 1 species